rnacentral:lncRNA from 1 species
GUUACAAGAGAAGCAUGAUAGAUAACAUCUUAAGUGACAUUAUGAUUAACAGGCAGAAUACUCAGAGCAGUGCAACGGCAUCAAGCUCCUCCGCUCAUAGUCCCCAGGAGGAUGCCCGAGGACAAGAAUUUAAGGUGAUAGACCAUGCAUUAAUGGGCUACAAGACGGCUAAGCGCGUAGUGAAGAAGCUAAGGACGGGGCCAACAUAUAGGAGGCCCCACCGUGUUCAGAGGCCUGGGCGGUGUCAAGGAUGGGUGUGAUGAGGGACAAAGGACAGGUGCAUAUACUAUACCCUUAUUAAACAGGGAAGGUGGAGAGAAUGAGGUUUGUAU